AUCGUGCAGGUCGGGUUGCGUUGCGUUGGCUUGUCCUCAGGGCCUGGUGGAGGCGGUGCUGGAGGCAGCCAAGAAGGACUACGCAGAGGAGCAGCCGAGACGCGCACGGGCCAUCCUGGUACUUAAUGACAUUACAUUACAUUACAUGAUGCUGCCGCCACUACGAAAGGUAUCUUCUCUGCGGAACAGUGACGAGGGGCGAUGAACUUAUGAUGAUGCUUGUGAACUGUGGUGACGAACACGACGCAGCUCCGGCGGCGUGGUGCUCGCAUCCCAGGACGGCAGGAUCGUCUGCGACAACACGCUGGACGCCAGGCUCAGCGUCUCCUUCAGGCAAAAGCUUCCUGAGAUCAGGAAGAAACUCUUCAGCUACCAAGUAUCCUAAUAUCUUUUAAUUUUUUGCUAUUCUCUGAUCGAUUGCUUUCUGAAAUAAAUCGGAAGCGGUUCGUCAAACUUGGAACUCGGUUGUCUCUCUGCCAAAAUAAUGCUUAACAACUGGUCGUCGAGUGAUCUGCUUGCUCCUCUCUUUUUUUCCUUGGAGGCAUAGUAAAUCUCCUUUGUCAAGUGUACUAGCAUGUAGCACAAAAAUGUUCUCUUGUAGCCGAAUUUUGAAGCUCAUCGAAGGCUCGCGAGCAGGCAAGGUGCUCUCUAUGAGGAGCUAUAUUUGCUUCUUUACCCUUAUGAAAUAUGGGUGCUAUCUGAUUCAAAUGGACUGCUUUUGCACAUUUGCUGAAUGUUUCAAAUGGACUGCUAGCACUAUCUGAUUCAAAUGGACUACUUGCACAUUUGCUGAAUGUUUCAAAUGGACUGCUUGCACACUGUCUGCACUGGUCACAACAGAGCCUGCAACGUCGAGGGAGGAUGGUGUUGGUCGCGACGUCGAGGGAGGCGUGAUGGCUUUAGGCUGCGGCGGCACGGUGGCCUGGGUGCGGCGGCGGGGCAAGGAACUCGACCAGGAGAGAGGAGCUAGGAAAAACGCACACGCAUUGGAGAGAUGAGCCUGUGUGGAUAAGGUGAGGGUAAUUUUGGAAAUCUUGAGGGCAAUUUAACAAGGAAUCGGCGAAUCGCGCUUUCAGAAGGGCAUAGAAGCGAAACUAUGGAAAGGCAAAAGAAUUGUCAUUCCAAUAUAUCAGACAAAAAGAGAAAACAUUCUAAUAUAUUAGACAAAAAGAGAAAACAUUGUAAAAAACUGGCACCAAAGCUGGCGCCAACACCAAAACAACUAGGCAAGCAAGACCUAACUAGAAUCACUGAAAGGAAAAAAAAUCUAACCCCUUGACCAGGCCCCCAGACACUACUAUCAGGCCAGACCUCUACCCACAAGAUAUUUCACCAUCUGCACCACUUGCUCUGUCGUUCUCUGUUGACCCUUGAAGAUUCUGUUGUUUCUCUCCAACCAUAAGCUCCACCAGAAAUAAAUUAGAAGGUGUUGAGCACCAAAUUGAGCGGGCGGACGGUCCGGCCCUGAGGCCGGACGGUCCGCGCUUGCGCAGAACAGUUUAGGGUUCCGAGUUUUGUGCUAUGAUUGUUGGCUAGAUUCACGGAAUUAACUCGGAAUCUAGUCGUGUAAAGGGUCCAGCCCCCCUCCUCUAUAUAAAGAGAGGUCUACGGCCGAUUUGUAAUCAUCAACAAUCGAAUCAAUACAACUUCUAUUCGCAUUU